rnacentral:rRNA from 1 species
AGAGUUUGAUCCUGGCUCAGGAUAAACGCUGGCGGCGCACAUAAGACAUGCAAGUCGAACGGACUUAAUCGAAAUAUUUAUAUUUUGAAGCGGUUAGUGGCGGACUGGUGAGUAACGCGUAAGGAACCUGCCUAUUAGAGGGGAAUAACAGUGAGAAAUCAUUGCUAAUACCGCAUAUGCCAUAGAUAUCACAUGAUAACAGUGGGAAAGGAGCAAUCCGCUAAUAGAUGGCCUUGCGU